AAAAGCACAUAUUCAAGCUAAAAUAGACAGCUAGGGUGAGUGAGAAAUGCUGAAUACUUAAAGUGGAAAUGGGUCAAGAUAAGAACGAACAGGAGGUACAAAGCACGAAGUUAUACAAGUUAGGAGGUUCACAGAAGAGAGAAGAUGAACUACGUCUCAAGAGUUCAGCAUCUGAGACUCUAGAAUCAAACCAAAGACCAAGUGAAGCUUUGUCUAUUUUAUUCUUAAAUAUUUCCUUUCUAGAAAAAAAAAUCCCAAUCUGCAUUUGAAGAUAUGGCCAUGCAGUUGUGUGGAAAGUGGGUGAAACAAGAAGGAAAAGAAGAAGAACAUAGCCGGUCUAGUUAAUUUCUUGAGCAGGAAACUGGAUCAGUUACCUCAAACGAAUAAUGUAACAAUGAGUAAGACAAAGCCUGGAUAUUUGAGAGCCCACACUUGGGGUAAAAUUAGGAAGACAGUGGGUGGUGUCAUACAGAAGAGGAAACAAAAGGGGUGCCAGAAAUCAUUUUAAAAUGUGCCUAUGAUCUGCAGUGUUGAAUAUCAAAUGUUGCAAAGAUGCUGAGAAAUAGAUCUGGCAAUGGUGGACUGCUGUUGUCCCCCCGGAAAGAAGUUUCCCUGGAAUUUGUGCCCUCCACGUUAAGAAAGGUUUUCUGGGUGCUACAGGAUGGAGUGCAAAGAUUCGAUCUCAGCUCAUUGCAACCUCCAUCUCCCGGGUUCAAGUGAUUCUCCUGCCUCAGCAUCCCGAGUAGCUGGAAUUACAGGAUCUGCUUCCUGGAGAACGACCAUGGUGACAGAGGAUGAACUAACUGCAAAGUAUCGUGCAACAACACAGAAGAGGAUGUGAUGGAUCCAACCACUGGGAGAACUGAGGAAGGCAAAGUCAUGGAGGAAAGGGCAUUUGAGUUGACUUUGAAGAUGAAUAGGAGUUGAAUGACUAGGAAAGGAAAAAGGCAUUUCAAGCAGCGGGAUGGACACAUGCAGAAAGGCAUGAUAUAAAGAGCAGGAUGUGGGAGCACGGGUAAUGCAUGGAACCAUGUAGGCGUGUGCAGUGGUGGGGGCAGGGAGUGACGCAGGGAGAUAAAGCUGGGAAAUACGGGAUCCAAGAUAAAUAGCUGUCACAAACACCCUAUGUAUAUACUUCUAUUGGUUGGUAGACUCUGAUAAAGGGAAGUGGUAGCCCUGGGAAAAGAAUGAGCUGCACACAGCAAUAAAAUAUGGAGAAUUCCAUAGCACAGUAUUUUUGACAGCCGUAAAAAAGAUAUUUUACUUCUAUGUAGGUGGUUUCCUUGAAAAAAUAGCACCUGUUAUUUGUUAGGGAGAGAAUGAAUUGCUUGUCCCAUGGUACAGUAAAAUCAAUCAUAUUGUAACACCAAUCUAUCACGUAAAAUUAAUUCUCUAGGCCCACGUUUUGAAGAAAGAAAAUGGUAGUUAAUAUCCCUAUUUCUGACUACUUAUGCAAGAGGAGAAAAAGACAUGCUUAUGUGGUUCUAAAAUAACUUCCUUAAGCCCAUUACCAAAUUCUAACAAGGAAGACCAUCCAUCCUAAAGAAGCUAUUUUAUAAAUCAUAAUUUGCUUUAAUUAAAAAAAAUUUCCCAAACUGCAUUCCAAGAAACACAGAGUCCCUUGAGUUUUUUAUUAAAAUGCUUCCCACUGUCAUCGUAAUAUGGGAAACACUGUAUAUGACAAAUCCCAUUUGAUUUUUCACAGUGAAUCUUAGAAGGUCCACAGACUUUAAAAGUCUACUGUAAAAAAAAUCUAUUUAGGUUGGGUGAAUUCAUUUUCCAUUCAUAUUUGAUCACAAAAUCCUCCUAUCUUCAUAACUCCCAUGAACAAUAUGGAAGUCACACUAUAAGGAAAAUAUUUUGUGGGUUGAUUUUGAGGAAUUCAAAAGCAUUUCAUAUCAAAACUCGCAGAACACAACCCUAAAGUUUCCUUGUAAAUGUUUUAGGGUCACCCCAUGAAAUGAGAGGGCGGCUAAGCAGGUGGGUUCUAGAGCCCCCCACCCUAAUUCAAUCAUCAUGGAUUAU